rnacentral:rRNA from 1 species
ACGAACGCUGGCGGCGUGCUUAACACAUGCAAGUCGAACGGUGAAGCGCCUUCCUUUUUGGUGGGUGUGGAUGAGUGGCGAACGGGUGAGUAACACGUGAGUAACCUGCCCCCUUCUUCUGGAUAACCGCAUGAAAGUGUGGCUAAUACGGGAUAUUCUGGGUCUGUCGCAUGAUGGGUCUGGGAAAGAUAUUGUUUCGGUGGGGGAUGGGCUCGCGGCCUAUCAGCUUGUUGGUGGGGUGAUGGCCUACCAAGGCGGUGACGGGUAGCCGGCCUGAGAGGGUGGACGGUCACACUGGGACUGAGACACGGACCAGACUCCUACGGGAGGCAGCAGGGGGGAAUAUUGCACAAUGGGCGCAAGCCUGAUGCAGCGACGCCGCGUGAGGGAUGGAGGCCUUCGGGUUGUGAACCUCUUUCGCCAGUGAAGCAGGCCUGCCUCGUUUGUGGGUGGGUUGACGGUAGCUGGAUAAGAAGCGCCGGCUAACUACGUG